rnacentral:rRNA from 1 species
AGGACGAACGCUGGCGGUGUGCUUCACACAUGCAAGUCGAACGAGGUAGCAAUACCUAGUGGCGGACGGGUGAGUAACGCGUGGGAAUCUGCCUUUAGAUGGGGGAUAACGGGCCGAAAGGUCCGCUAAUACCGCAUAGGCCGCAAGGUUAAAGGAGUAAUCCGUCUAAAGAUGAGCCCGCGUCCGAUUAGCUAGUUGGUAGGGUAAAAGCCUACCAAGGCGACGAUCGGUAGCUGGUCUGAGAGGAUGAUCAGCCACAAUGGGACUGAGACACGGCCCAAACUCCUACGGGAGGCAGCAGUGGGGAAUAUUGGACAAUGGGCGCAAGCCUGAUCCAGCCAUGCCGCGUGAGUGAUGAAGGCCUUAGGGUUGUAAAGCUCUUUCGCACGCGACGAUAAAUGACGGUAGCGUGAGAAGAAGCCCCGGCUAACUUCGUGCCAGCAGCCG